UGAACGCUGGCGGCAUGCUUUCCACAUGCAAGUCGAACGGUAACAGGCCUUCGGGUGCUGACGAGUGGCGAACGGGUGAGUAAUGCAUCGGAACGUGCCCAGAGGUGUGGGAUAACGCAGCGAAAGCUGUGCUAAUACCGCAUGUGAUCUGAGGAUGAAAGCGGGGGACCAGGCAGCAAUGUUUGGCCUCGCGCCUUUGGAGCGGCCGAUGUCAGAUUAGGUAGUUGGUGGGGUAAAGGCCUACCAAGCCGACGAUCUGUAGCUGGUCUGAGAGGACGACCAGCCACACUGGGACUGAGACACGGCCCAGACUCCUACGGGAGGCAGCAGUGGGGAAUUUUGGACAAUGGGCGCAAGCCUGAUCCAGCAAUGCCGCGUGCGGGAAGAAGGCCUUCGGGUUGUAAACCGCUUUUGUACGGAACGAAAAGGCUCUGGCUAAUACCUGGGGCUGAUGACGGUACCGUAAGAAUAAGCACCGGCUAACUACGUG
rnacentral:rRNA from 1 species